GGAGAAGGCUGCUUAGCAGAGAAAUGGCAACUCAGCGGAGAGCUGGAACUAGAAACUUUCUGUCAGUGUAACGUCCGCGUGGGUGGUGACCCAAUGAUGGUUGGGCUUCGGGUCACGUGACAGCCUCAUUGUAGCUCCGGAAGAGAACGUGAAGUUUAGGUUGCCUGGAAGAAGCAGUAAUAAGCUAGGUUUGGGGUUGCCUGGAUGUAAACAGAGGGGGUGCCUGGAGGUGCUGGUCAAAGGGACAAAAGAGGCCAGUGACUAAGAAAAACAGACAGGCAAAGAGCAGACUUAGCCCAAGAUUCCCUCCCCUCCCUCCCGCCCCCCAAGCUUGUUGCUUAAACCUUAGCUGAAGAACUUGGCAGAAUGGUCCAGACUGGUACAAAUGUCAAAAACUGAGUUGAAAGCAGGAAACACUAGGAAGGGGAGACAGCGACCUGAGCAGUGAGCAAAGAGCCUGGGGAGUGUCACCAAUGCCCUCCUGCUAGGGGACAUUUGGCCACUAGAGCCUUUUUCUGCACCCUGAACUGGACCACCAUGACAAGAUAAAAUUAAUAACAGAAAGUUUAUUCAAGAAUUGUUUUGACAGACAACUCUUUUAACUAAGGGGGAAAAAAAUAACUACGGAAGAACAAAGAAAGUUCCAAGAGAGAAUUAACUUCUUAUCUCUACAAAUUCGGGACUAUACAGUGACAUUUAGGAGCUGAGUUCAUGCCUUUUAGAACUAAUUACAAUUCCUCAUAUGUACGAGUUUAACAUAAAUCUACAGCUCUUGUCUAGAAUACAAUAAAAACUAAAAUAGCUGGUUUUACAUGACAGGAAACACAACAACCUUUAUAACAAGUAAAUACUAAAAAAGUACAUUUUUCUUUUUUUUUUUUGUCCCUCAUAUAAAUACAUAAUGUAGGGGGAUAAAUAAUACAAAAAAGAAAAUAUUUUAACAGGCUAUAACCAAUAAAUAUAUAUGAAAAUGUUCACUAGAACACACGCUUUUUGAGCGAAGCUGGACUUUCUGCAGGCCCAGACAUCUCUCACAGUUGUUUUUUUUUUUUUUAAUAUCCAUUAAAAUGUAAACUCCAAGUGCAACAAGACUGUCCUGUCAGGAACUGGAGCAAGGUCCACAGGUCCAGCUGCAGCACCUGCCAGGACAGACAGUUUGUUCAAAUAUACCCUGUUUUCACGUUAAGUCAAGAGAAGAACAGAAGUAAAAAGAAAGUGGAGGGAGUGGGAUGGGGUGGGAGCUGAGAGACUGGAGAAUGGGCAAGCCUCCAGUCCUGACAACUUGCCUGCCUUAGCCUCUUAACUUUUCUUUAAAAGAAAAAAAAUAUAUAUUUAUUUAUAUUAUAGGCAGCUCUGACUUUCAGGAUAUCUUACCAUCCCUGAGCCCUCUGAAAAUUGUAAUCAAUAGGGGUGGGGUGUAGAUAUGAAUGUCCUUAGAGCAGAAAACCAACCGUAGGGCCAUAGUAAAUGAUAGAUAUAGUAAGAAGCCUAACAGAUGGGGGAUGGGGGGAGUUGAAGCUUCAGGGAAGUAGGAGAGAAACAUACUUUGUGCCCUUCGAUUUAAAUGUAUUUUCUUAUUUUUCACAGGGAGACUGAAAGGGAGAACAAAAAAAAUCAAGAUUUUGGGGAAAUUACCCACAGAGAUGCAAGGGAAAAAGAAAAAGGAAAAGGAAAAACUGUGCAUCUGCUGGAAUCUCUUUUCUACUGAGAUGGGGGAAAUUAUCCAGGAUGAGAAAGACUCACAAAACAAUUUGAACACUAUUCUUCUCUGGAUUCAAAGGGGAGGCUGUUUACUGAGGUUCCCAACAGCAAAAAAUAAAAUAAAAUAAAAUUAUGGUCACUAUUCUAACACAGUCUUUUUAAAGUGCACCCGAAAAAUAAAGCUGGACCGUGUCAGGA
rnacentral:lncRNA from 1 species